AACGAACGCUGGCGGCAUGCCUAACACAUGCAAGUCGAACGGGAUCCUAGCUUGCUAGGUGAGAGUGGCGGACGGGUGAGUAACACGUGGGAAUCUGCCUUUUGGUUCGGGAUAACCGCGGGAAACUGCGGCUAAUACCGAAUGCCCUCGAGAGAGGAAAGAUUUAUCGCCAGAAGAGGAGCCCGCGUCCGAUUAGGUAGUUGGUGGGGUAAAGCCUACCAAGCCGACGAUCGGUAGCUGGUCUGAGAGGAUGAUCAGCCACACUGGGACUGAGAUACGGCCCAGACUCCUACGGGAGGCAGCAGUGGGGAAUAUUGGACAAUGGGGGCAACCCUGAUCCAGCCAUGCCGCGUGUGUGAAGAAGGCCCUAGGGUUGUAAAGCACUUUCAGUGGGGAGAAAGGUUAUUCACCUAAUACGUGAGUAGAUUGAUGUUACCCACAGAAGAAGCACCGGCUAACUCCGUGCCAGCAGCCGCGGUAAU
rnacentral:rRNA from 1 species